AAUGAAUGAUGACGUUUUGGUCCCAAAUGACAAUCUGUGAUUACCAUUUUGAGAUCGUUCUGAGAUU